rnacentral:rRNA from 1 species
AACGAACGCUGGCGGCAGGCCUAACACAUGCAAGUCGAGCGCACCGCAAGGGGAGCGGCGGACGGGUGAGUAACGCGUGGGAAUUUUCCUCAAGGUACGGAACAACCCAGGGAAACUUGGGCUAAUACCGUAUGAUGCAGAGAUGCCAAAGAUUUAUCGCCUUGGGAUAAGCCCGCGUCAGAUUAGGUAGUUGGUGGGGUAACGGCCUACCAAGCCUGCGAUCUGUAGCUGGUCUGAGAGGACGAUCAGCCACACUGGGACUGAGACACGGCCCAGACUCCUACGGGAGGCAGCAGUGGGGAAUCUUGCGCAAUGGGCGAAAGCCUGACGCAGCCAUGCCGCGUGAGUGAUGAAGGUCUUAGGAUUGUAAAGCUCUUUCGCCCGUGACGAUGAUGACGGUAACGGGAGAAGAAGCCCCGGCUAACUUCGUGCCAGCCGCCGCGGUAACAC